ensembl:lncRNA
GGGAAGGGAACCGCGGCGGGUCAGGAAGGAGGGACCAGGGCCGGGCAGGGACCCGGGCCGGAACCACCUCUGCCCGGCAGGCGUGGAGGCGGGGCAGGCGCGGCCAGGAGUCGGAGUCUGGCCCCCUACCCUGAACACAGAGCCGGGAGAGGCGCCGGAGGCCCUGCGAGGGAGGCUGGUGGCCGUCACAGAGCUCCCGACGGCCGGACUGUGGAGAGUGUCCGCCUCAACAGGAGAAAAGACAAACAGUUCCACAGCACUUCACACAAUGCCUGCUAGGUCGCGAUUGUUGGUCGGAGGGGUCGAGGAGCCUGGAUCCCGCCUGAGCUGGGCGUGCGCCAUCGUGGAAGCACCACGGGGAUUGCCAGGACAGGUGACUCACGGCCGGGAGUGAGCGGGCAGGAGCGGCCCCAGCCGGGCCACCAUCACCCAAGCAGGCUGCACAUCUCUCCACUCCACGACUCAGUCUCCUCGUAUGCCAAGUGGGAAUGAUAAAGGAAUCUAAAAGCACCGUGGUGCACACUUGACUCCAGUCCCAGCUACCAGGAGGCUCUUCCUCUCCACAGAGGAGAGCGCUGCACCCGUGGCUCCUCUUUCUGGGAGCAAGGCGCACAGCGUCCCUGGAUGCUGAGCAGAUAUUCCUUCACGUGACACAGUUGGCCUCAAAUCUGACCGGUGCCUGAGCGGCCCGGUCUCCAGGGACAGAGGGCUUUGCCACGUCACUAGUUCACCCUCCCACACCUCAGCCCCUCGCUGGGCCUCGAACCCAGCUGAUACGCAGCCAAUGCCUGACAGGUUUGAAGCCGAGCACCUUUGUCUCGGAGGGCUUACUCCCACAGACAGAGUGGUCCAGGCUGUUGCCAACAGUAGUAGCCAAGCCCCAAAGGGGCAGGUGUGGUCCCUGUGUCUGCCCCAUGUGCCUUCUCUCUUCAGAACAUCUGGACCUGAACUUCAGGGCUGCUUGGAAACUGUAGGGAACCUGGAACCAACAAUUUCUCUCAGCACAGGGACGCACCUUCUAUAUUUCCCUUCCUCACUUGUACCUUUCUCUGAUCGGGAAUAUCUGGGCUCCUCUGUCCAGGCAGAAACCAAGAAUUAAGAGUCUAGUAUAAGGUGGACACACUGACUUAUUGAGUCCCUUGUUUGUUUGCUCAUAGAUUUGGUUUAACUAGAUGAACCAGAUAGUGAACGACAAGAUUAAAUUAGAAAAGGGAUCACUGCAGAGCAGGAACUCAGGGGGCCGAGUGUUAGUAAACAGGAAGGCCGGGCUGCAGCAGAGAGCACUCACAAAGCAUUGAUCACCCAGUAAAGCGGUGGACCGAUUGUCAUUGUGAUUCCAGUAUGACAAACAAGAGUUUCCUUCGUUAUGCUUGUUACCCUCUGAAAUUACUUCCUUCUAUUUGUAUGUCUCCUCUGAUUGCUGUGUACAUUCCAUGGGACUUUAUUAUUUUGUUUCAGCCCUGUAGAGCUGUGGUGGAGUUUGGC